GAAGAAGGAAGCAGUGUGAAGAUAAGAUCAGAUUCAGAAAUAUCUGCUUUUAUCUAGGGUGGAAGCUGAUGCAUAUGCUCAGGUUUCCUCUGCUGCAUAGAGAAACUGACAAGUACAGAAAAAUCUAAAGAUACAGGUGAUAAAUUUACCGCAAACAAGAGUAUCUGGUGGGCGAUAACAGUACAUGUUUCCCAAGGGCCAACUCAGUGGCUUUAGACAGUCCUUCAAAGCAUUUAUGUCUACUGUGCUUGUUAGCUUCAGUAACACCAUUUGUACAAGAGCAAAUGCGAGAAACAAAAUGUGCUUGUGGUUUUUUUUCUGACUAUAUUUCCUCCUGGGUCCUUGACAAGCCCCCCCCCCCGGGAUCGCCUGAUUCAAUAGGUCUGGGGUAGAACCCUACAAUCUACAUGCUUAACAAAUAUCACAGGUUGUCCUAAUGUAGGGCCCCUGGAAAAACAAACAAACAAACAAACAAACAAACAAACAAACAAACAAACCAACCACUGACCAUAGGUUUUCAGCAGUGGCUCUCAAUCUUGGCAACACAUUGGAACCACUCGGAAACUUAAAAUUCUGAUACCUGGGUUUCACCCCCCAGAAAUUCUGCUGUAAUCAGCCCAGGUUGUGGGGAUUUUUAAAAGCUCCCCGGUGCCCUAACUGGUUUGGCUCAGUG